rnacentral:rRNA from 1 species
UGCAGUCGAGCGAACAGACGAGGAGCUUGCUCCUUUGACGUUAGCGGCGGACGGGUGAGUAACACGUGGGUAACCUACCUAUAAGACUGGGAUAACUUCGGGAAACCGGAGCUAAUACCGGAUAAUAUUUCGAACCGCAUGGUUCGAUAGUGAAAGAUGGCUCUGCUAUCACUUAUAGAUGGACCUGCGCCGUAUUAGCUAGUUGGUAAGGUAACGGCUUACCAAGGCAACGAUACGUAGCCGACCUGAGAGGGUGAUCGGCCACACUGGAACUGAGACACGGUCCAGACUCCUACGGGAGGCAGCAGUAGGGAAUCUUCCGCAAUGGGCGAAAGCCUGACGGAGCAACGCCGCGUGAGUGAUGAAGGUCUUCGGAUCGUAAAACUCUGUUAUUAGGGAAGAACAAACGUGUAAGUAACUGUGCACGUCUUGACGGUACCUAAUCAGAAAGCCACGGCUAACUACGUGCCAGCAGCCGCGGUAAUACGUAGGUGGCAAGCGUUAUCCGGAAUUAUUGGGCGUAAAGCGCGCGUAGGCGGUUUUUUAAGUCUGAUGUGAAAGCCCACGGCUCAACCGUGGAGGGUCAUUGGAAACUGGAAAACUUGAGUGCAGAAGAGGAAAGUGGAAUUCCAUGUGUAGCGGUGAAAUGC